ensembl:lncRNA
GUUUUGAAGGUUCCAACCCACAAGAGUGGGGCCCCUUGUUUUGGGCCUUUGGCGAAAUCACACGUCAUAACAAGAAUGUCUGCUGAAGCAAACUACUUGCCUUAUACCAGGAAGCAGAGCUGGAGGAGGAGGAUGGAGCCGAGGUCCCACAACCUGUCAAAGACAAAAAAAGGAAAAUGUUGUGGAAUACUUGUUUACACUGUGAAAAAUGUGUCUUUGCCAAGGCACCCUCUGAUUGGCUUAAUAAAGAGCUGGAUGGUCAAUAGCUAGGCAGGACUUCUGAGGAUGGAGGGGAUUCUGGGAAGAAGAAAGGCAAAGUCACCAGCCAGAUGAAGAGGAAGCAAGAUGGGCAAUGCAAAGUAAAGGAAACAGCUCUGAUCCACCACACACUUCUGCCACCAAGAUGUUCUACCCCAUAAGAGGCCCAGAAGCAUGGAGCCAAGUGACAAAGGGACUGAACCCUCUGAAACCAUGAGCCAACUCAAAUCAUCCUGGAAGCUGUUUCCAUCAGGCAUUUUGUAACAAUGAUAUAAAGCCUCUGGGAACCAUUAAUCUACUUCUAUCCUUAUGGAUUUGGAGAUUUUGGACAUUUCCUAGAAAUGGACUCAUCACGUUUAUGGAUUUCUGCAGCUGGCUCUUUUCAUCGCAUCUUAUGUAAUAAUGUGUUUGCACGUUUCGCCAUGUGCUAGUAGCUUAUUCAAUUUCAUGUCUGGGCCACACCACACCAUAUGGAGAUACUGCCCUUUAUUUAGCCACUCAUCCAUCAAGGGGCAGUAGAGCUGCCCCCACUUUGAGGGAAAGGCAAUGUGUUACUGUCUGUCCAGCUACAUGAGGCGCCACAAGCUGAUUUUCUGUAAAAGGGUGAGCAGGACUGUAUAUUCUGACCAGCAAUGCGUGAAAGUUUCACUCCCCUCCAUUCUUGCCAACAUUUUUGUCCACCUUUUAGGAAACCAGUGAACAUUAAGUGGUGUCUCCUGGUUCUCACUGCUUCCUAAAUGGCUCUGAUGGCGAGUUUCUUUUCACCUGGUUUGGGAUGUUUACAUCCAAUCUUCUCUGGAAAAACACUUAAAUUCUUUGUCCCUUUAGCUGGAAGUUUUUCUUUCUAUUGUUGAGUCAUAAGAGUUUGGGAUACUAGACCCUCCUCAGAUACAUGUUCUGAGAGCAUUUUGACAACAUGCAGCUGUCCUUCUGCUUUCCUGGCAGCGUCACUUGAGGCAUUUUAAGAUUUUGAUAAAUUAGAAUUAAUCUUUUUUUGUUACUCAUGAAGCACAAUUGCAUGAAGGGUUAUUCCUUCAUUUUCUUUUAAGAGAUUUAUUUUAGUUCCUAAAUGGCAGUCUAUGAUCCACUUAGAAUGCUUUUUUGGAUAUGGUAUGAGGUUGGGGUCUAAUUUUAUUUUGUUUCAUGUGACCAUCAUAGAAGUAUUAUCUAUCAAAAGGUCACAUAUUCCCUCAUCAAACUGUCUUGGAACAAUUGCCAAAAUUAAGUUAAUCAUAAAUAUAGGGAUCAAUUUUUGGAAUCUCAAUUUUAUCCCAAUUAUCUAUGUCUAUAUGUGUAUCUUUAUGUGAUUAUCGAGUUGUUAUUGCAGCAUGUUUUGAAAUUGAGAAGUGUGACUCCUCUUAAGAUUAUUUUGAUAUUGAAGAUGUUUUGCAUUUUAUAUUAGUAUAAGCUAAGUAUGCCUUUUUCUGAAAAAUAUAGACCCAGAAUAUUGACAAAUUAACUGAAUUACAAAUUGAUUUGGGAAGUAAUGCUACUCAAGAGUCCUGUCUCCCAGCAUGAAGGAAUUACCUAUGUGCCUUUGGCUUCUUCUUCACUGUUUUGUGACUUACUUCAUGAGUCUUUGCUUCUUUUGUUAAAUUUCUUACCAAAUACUUUAUUCUUUUUGAUACUACUGAAAAUGGAAUUGUCAUUUUAAUUUUCUUGGAGGUUGUUCAGUAAUAGUAUAUAGGAAAUCAGUUCAUUUUUCUGUAUUAAUCCUGUCUGGUGUUACCUAGCCAAAUUUGUUAUCUCUAAUAGUUUUCUUUUGGAUAUGUGUAUCUCCUAUAUAUGUAUAUAUCCA